CAGGCCCCUAUUCUGUUCUCAUCUGCCCCAAUGUAUCCAGCGUGGAAUGCCGGAGGCUGAGAACCUGGUACCUGGGGCUACCCCUUGUCCACCACUCGCUGUGUAGGGUCAGUGGCUUUCCACAGCCAGAUGCCUAGUGUCUAGCAGUCCUCCCGCUUCUGCCCGUCCAGAGUUCUGGAACUCUGUCAGGACACGAGCAUUCUCUCCCACUGCCCUCUUCCCACACAACCACGGCUCCACAGGAAACCUUUGCCACAGCAUUUGGGUGGAAAUACGUUCUGGGGGUUGAACUUGAGUCUUCAGGCAUGGCAGCCAGCUGAGUUACCUGCUGACUCAUCUUACUGGCCCUAUUUUUGGAUUUUAACUCUAUUUUCCAAAGUGUGCCACAUGCACAUCUUGGAGACCGAGUCGACUGGGGUGAUGGGGACUGAUGGACCAGCACAUUUCUUCUUACCAGAGUGUGACGACGACGAGCUCAUUUCCAGAGAGGACAUUGGACACCUUUCAUGGCUCAUCUCAUUUUCAAUUUUCCUGUUGCUGUAGUACCCUGAGACACAGCCUAAGGACUGACUCCCCCCCACCCCCACCCCCUCCAGAUCUAGCUGCAGAGGACCCAUGCUGAGGCCCAUUCAGGAGUUUAGAGCUUGAAUAAAACCUGAAAGUGUGAGGAUGUUAACUCCAGUGGGAAGCCUCAGCCCUCCCCUUUAUCAGCCGGGCAGUGCUGAAACCCUUUAGGCUUCCUCCCUGUACUAACGUCCUCUUCCUAUUUUUUUUUUUUCUCCCAGAUGUCACACUUCUGUUCCCAAGCAUUCCACCUGUGUGCAGGUUCUUUAGCACUCUAGGGGGGUACGAGGCUGGAACAGGGUCAAAUUAUCACCCUAAUUAUUUCACAACUAAUAUUAAAAGUGGACAAAGACUCCCCAACCACCCCAC